rnacentral:misc_RNA from 1 species
GAAUUAUAGGAAGGAUGGGACACCAUUUUGGAUGUUGUUUCAUAUGUGUCCUGUUUUCGAUGAGAAGGACGGGAGAGUGAUUCAUUUCUUGGGAGUUCAAGUUCCAAUUUUGAGGAGGCCUAAGCCAUCUGGAGUUGGACUAAAUUUAUGCCAAGAUGUAGCUGGCUGUCGAGAGUCCGUGCUUAGGUGUUAUAGAAGGGAAGUUCACUCCAUGAGCGUGGAACGGGCACUGUCUCUGGCAUCAGGUUCAGGCUUGGAUUUCACAGGAAUAGAUGUAGAGGGGCCGUGUGAUGCAAAUGAUCUAGAGAAGAGAAAAGCCACUGCUGUUAUAAACAACAUACUGACUGUGCUGGUACAUGACGGUGAAUCAACAGGCAGACUAGUCCGUGGAAAGAGACAUUCUCAACCUGGGACGGGUCUGCUCGGAGCAUCCUUAAAUAUAUCUCUUGGUAGAAUC